rnacentral:lncRNA from 1 species
ACACCUCCCAAUUCUUUCAAUUACAGAGCUGAUGAUGUUGCUACUAGCUACUAUCGCUAUUAAUAGUAACAAUGUCUUCAAGCUCGGGACGGAGCAAGAAUAUACCAAUAUGCAGAUCUGAUCAUGAAAAUAACUUGGAUGGCCACAUUCUCAUUUCUUGCAGGAGAGGUGGUGAUGGGCAGUGGCCUUGUGAUAUCUCGAUUAGAAAUUGGUUGGUGAGCGUAUCUCUAAUUGAUGGCUUGCGAGAAAUCUAAAGUUUAAAAAUGAAUGAAUUUUUUUUUUUUUCCAUUGUUGGAAUUUUGAGGGUGAUCGAUAAAGAGAAGAGAAGAG